UCUGCCCUUAGAGGCAUUGCAGGUCUGGCUGCUGUGUCACAGGUGGAUCAGUAGAUGGCCGAGAGGUAAUGACACAAACUACACUCAGUGUUCUGACCCAUGACUACCUGAAUGAUUAGUGAGCCUUGAGA